rnacentral:rRNA from 1 species
UGGGGAAUAUUGGACAAUGGAGGAAACUCUGAUCCAGCAAUUCUGUGUGUGUGAAGAAGGUUUUAGGACUGUAAAACACUUUUAGUAGGGAAGAAAAAAAUGACGGUACCUACAGAAGAAGCAACGGCUAAAUACGUGCCAGCAGCCGCGGUAAUACGUAUGUUGCGAGCGUUAUCCGGAAUUAUUGGGCUUAAAGGGCAUCUAGGCGGUAAGACAAGUUGAAGGUGAAAACCUGUGGCUCAACCAUAGGCUUGCCUACAAAACUGUUGAACUAGAGUACUGGAAAGGUGGGUGGAACUACACGAGUAGAGGUGAAAUUCGUAGAUAUGUGUAGGAAUGCCGAUGAUGAAGAUAACUCACUGGACAGAAACUGACGCUGAAGUGCGAAGGCUAGGGGAGCAAACAGG